ACUCCUUUGCCUGCUUGCCACGUGGGACUGAGCAAUUGCUAGAUCCUUGGACUUCCAUUCACAGCUGCUACUGAACCAUUGUUGGGAAUUGGACUGCAGACUAUAAUCAACAGGAUAUUUGGUGCAAGAGCAUUAAGUACAAAGAUUUGAUUGUUGUUCUUGAGCUUGUGACAGAUCUUGCCAUUUGUCCCGAGGGCAAUGCACUAGUUACUUUUCUGUUGCUGUGAUAAAACACCACAGCCAAAGGCGACUUCAGGAAGAGAGAGUUUAAUUUGGCUCGUGGCUGCAGAGGGAUAUCUGUCCGUCAUCGUCCAUUGUGGAAGGGAGGCACAGCAGCAAGCAGCAGGAACAGGAACAGCAGCGGGAGCAGGAAGCUGACAGACCACAUCUUUAAGAGCAAGCAUGAAGCAGAGAGAAAUGAAUGACAUGUGCCUGCCCCCAGUGACUUACUUCCUCCAACAAGGCUGAGCCACCAAACAGUGUCAUUUACCAGCCUGAUGGUGUAAAUUAUUUGUCACAUUAAGUCAUUCCAAAGUUAUCACACAAUCCAAUGCCUUAACAAACACCCUCUCAUUUAAUGUGGGUUAGGAAUCUGGGAGCGCUCAGAUGGGUAUAAUUAAUCAUUGCUCACUGGGCUGUGAAUCAGCUGGGGAAGAGUCUGUUGGUGAGGUCACUCACAUGGUUAAGCUUACCCUCAGUUCCUCCUGAGGCCACCUAUUUUUUUUUUUUUUCUUUCUGCACCACAGAAAAGGUCUUCAUAGGGCACUUGAGAUGGCAGCCGGCUUCCCUGGGGAUUGGAUGAGCAAACAGGAAGGGGUGAACAGGACAGACGACAGGCUUUUUUUUACCACCUCAUCUCAGAAGUGACUCACCUGCUGUACUGUCAGUUGUUAGAAGUCAGUGCUAGAUCCAGGCCACAGUGCAGGUGACAGAAUCGGACAAGAGCAAGAAUGAGGUCAGGCAGGUCACUGCGGGCCAUCCUCAAUGCAGUCUGCUUUCUGACCCCGAGGCUUCACACUGCAGUCACAUGCAGAGCAUACAGCCUUCCAAAGCCUCCCAAAGACUUACUCGACUGUAGGCUAGUAACUGAACCCUAUUCAUAGUUGGAACUGUGUUCAUCUUUUCUUACUUUGAUUUUAACAAGAUGAAAGGGCAAUGGUCUUCACUAAGGAAGGAAGCUAUAGGAAUAGACACCAAUAAAGCCAGCCUAAUAAAUAAAAUUCUAGAAAAAAUAU
rnacentral:lncRNA from 1 species